UACGUAGGGGGCAAGCGUUGUCCGGAUUUAUUGGGCGUAAAGAGCGUGUAGGCGGCCAGGUAGGUCUGCUGUGAAAACUCGAGGCUCAACCUCGAGACGUCGGCGGAAACCAUCUGGCUAGAGUCCGGAAGAGGAGAGUGGAAUUCCUGGUGUAGCGGUGAAAUGCGCAGAUAUCAGGAAGAACACCCGUGGCUAAGGCGGCUCUCUAGUACGGUACUGACGCUGAGACGCGAAAGCGUGGGGAGCGAACAGG
rnacentral:rRNA from 1 species